rnacentral:sRNA from 1 species
ACUCUCUUCUUCUUCUUCCUCUUCCUCUCUUCUCUCUC